AACGAACGCUGGCGGCAGGCCUAACACAUGCAAGUCGAACGCCCUAGCAAUAGGGAGUGGCAGACGGGUGAGUAACACGUGGGAACGUGCCUUUCGGUUCGGAAUAACCCAGGGAAACUUGGACUAAUACCGGAUACGUGCGAGAGCAGAAAGAUUUAUCGCCGAAAGAUCGGCCCGCGUCCGAUUAGUUAGUUGGUGAGGUAAUGGCUCACCAAGGCGACGAUCGGUAGCUGGUCUGAGAGGAUGAUCAGCCACACUGGGACUGAGACACGGCCCAGACUCCUACGGGAGGCAGCAGUGGGGAAUAUUGGACAAUGGGCGCAAGCCUGAUCCAGCCAUGCCGCGUGAGUGAUGAAGGCCCUAGGGUUGUAAAGCUCUUUCGCCAGGGACGAUAAUGACGGUACCUGGAUAAGAAGCCCCGGCUAACUUCGUGCCAGCCGCCGCCGUAAU
rnacentral:rRNA from 1 species